GGCUGGGUAGCUCAGUUGGUAGAGCAGAGGACUGAAAAUCCUCGUGUCACCGGUUCGAUCCCGGUCCCAGCCA
rnacentral:tRNA from 1 species